rnacentral:rRNA from 1 species
AUGGCUCAGGACGAACGCUGGCGGCGUGCUUAACACAUGCAAGUCGAGCGGAGAAUAUAGCAAUAUAUUCUUAGCGGCGGACGGGUGAGUAACGCGUGGGCAAUCUGCCUCAUACAGGGGGAUAACACUGGGAAACUAGUGCUAAUACCGCAUAAAAUAGUGAAGUGGCAUCACUUUACUAUCAAAGGAGCAAUCCGGUGUGAGAUGAGCCCGCGUCCGAUUAGCUAGUUGGAGGGGUAACGGCCCACCAAGGCGACGAUCGGUAGCCGAACUGAGAGGCUGAUCGGCCACAUUGGGACUGAGACACGGCCCAGACUCCUACGGGAGGCAGCAGUGGGGAAUAUUGCGCAAUGGGGGAAACCCUGACGCAGCAACGCCGCGUGAAGGAUGAAGGUUUUCGGAUUGUAAACUUCUUUGAUUGGGGACGAUAAUGACGGUACCCAAAAAACAAGCCACGGCUAACUACGUGCCAGCCGCCGC